rnacentral:rRNA from 1 species
ACAAAGAGCAGCAAGUUCGCGAGGACAAGCAAAAUCUCAUAAAACCGUGGCUCAGUUCAGAUCGUAGGCUGCAACUCGCUAGUGAAGGAGGAAUCGCUAGUAAUCGCAGGUCAGCAUACUGCGGUGAAUACGUUCCCGGGCCUUGUACACACCGCCCGUCACACCAUGGAAGUUGGCCACGCCCGAAGCCGUUACUCCAACCCUUGUGGAGGAGGACGUCGAAGGUGGGGCUGAUGACUGGGGUGAAGUCGUAACAAGGUAGCCGUACCGGAAGGUGCGGCUGGAUCACCUCCUAA